GCCAUGUGACCCUUCCGGUGGGGCCGGCCAUGCGCACUGAGCUAGGAGUCAUUUGCAGCUCAAUGCUCUGUGACCUGUCAGGUCUAGUCCCUUUGCUGAGCCUGUUUUGUCAUCUCUUUAGAGCCAAGAAUAAGAUGGACACGGUUGAAACUUUCAUUCCAGGGUCCGGGGAUGAUGGGGCUGAACUAAACGGCAUCUCCUCCCUUCUUUUGCCUUAGACACCAAUGCACCAGGUGGACCACAGGCUGGCUGAGCUGGAGGAUGGAGGAACCCCUCUGGGACCCUCAUACCAACCUGUGACCCAGGAGCCCCUUGAUUCAGCUGGGUCAACUUCCCCAGGUUUGGCUCCCAGAAUUUACUGGGCCGAGAGCCCAGGAUGGGCUGGGCACAUCUACUUGACAUUUGCUUGCACAAAAGGAUGGUCUCCAGGAGCCCUUUCUAGGACCACAGCUGGGAACGCUGUAGCCCUGAUAUUCUUUAAGACUGCUCUGGCUCUCUCUCCUCCGGGCAGGGACCCCACCUUGGAGUGGACGGGUCUGGACCUGAGACCGAGGGCUGUCUUCUGGUCCUGUCUGAAGGUGGCGGUAGGUGGAGCUCGAGGCUCAUGGCAGAGCUGGGCCAGGGCGCUGGGCUCUUCACCUGGUCCUGGCAGGCGGGCGGGCACUGGGGAGGCUCAGCGUCAGCGGCUGUGACUUGAGGUAAAAAUAAUCAGGGAAGGACAGCUGCUUCCUUGUCAGCAACCAAGAGGGAAAUAAAGCUCAUGUCCCCUCCAGCGAAAACCUGCUCUCCAGGUCCCCAGGCUCCUGCCACCAACUGCUCGACGUCUGCGUGCCAAUCCAAUUUGAACGCCUGCGAUUCCCCCCAGAGAGGGCUUAUUUUAACUUCAUCAAGCACCGAGAAAAACAUCCAGACUAGAGUAAGUGGGAGGAAGGAGCAGCUGCUUUAGGGCUCAGGCCAGGAAAGGGGUCCAUGGCUUCUGUCCCGCUUGUGGUUGGACUUGGGGUCCCCUCCUCCUAAUCUGGUUCAAAAAUUGCCCAUGUGGUUAAUUCAGCCAAAGCUCGAUGAGCAUCUAGUAGGUGUUCCCUGAAAUCAAGUGGGGGAGAUAACAACGCGACUCUGCUCAGAAGUUCCUCUCUGAUGUCCUCUGAUGUUCUCGCCUCCUCUCCUGUUCCCUCUCUCUUCUCCAGCCCCUGCUCUGGGGCUGUGCCAGGCUUUUCACGAAGGCCCCGA